rnacentral:rRNA from 1 species
UACGGAGGGUGCAAGCGUUGUCCGGAAUCACUGGGCGUAAAGGGCGCGUAGGCGGCUCGGUAAGUCGGGGGUGAAAUCCUGCGGCUUAACCGCAGGGCUGCCUUCUAAACUGUCGAGCUCGAGCACGGUAGAGGCAGAUGGAAUUCCCGGUGUAGCGGUGGAAUGCGUAGAGAUCGGGAAGAACAUCAGUGGCGAAGGCGGUCUGCUGGGCCGUUGCUGACGCUGAGGCGCGACAGCGUGGGGAUCAAACAGG